CUUCUUGAGGUUUGCAGCAGGUUCUUGUUUUUUUGUUUGUUCCUUUCCUUUGUCAAAAUCACUGAAACUCCAAAUUGGAGACCAAAGGAAUCUCUGACAAAGUGCUCUCGCCCGCUUACUGUGUUCUUUUCUGCAACCACACACAGAAACAUACCUCUGUGUUUCAGGAAGGAUUUCGCCCUGUACAUCAAGGACUCAGGGAAGAAAGGAGGCCCUGUUGGAUUUGCCAUAAUGUUCUGUUGCAUCCUCUGUGUACAUGUAACUCUGAUUCAGUCAUGGAAUCUCAAGACUUUCAUGUUGAAAAGGAUCUUCGAGACCAUUUCAUCUCCCUGUCAGCCUGGACCACACUCUGUUGUAUGGACAAGAAAACUUACAGGGGUUCAGCUUGUGGCCGGAGAGCCCAUUCCAUGAAUUGGAGACCUCAGAGAGUUGUGUGAUCAUGGCACACCAAGGACAUAUAGGAGGAGAAUCAAAUCCAUGGUAACCGAUUUUGUAUCAGAAAUACUCACUACCAUAAGCUGCUGCGGAGAUGCAACUUGAAAGAAUAGUUUCUCAAUUAACUCAGAACAAGGAUCAAGGUGCAAGGACCACAUACAUAUUUAAAGAAUGGCCACAGAGGUAAGUUUCUCUCAUUCAUACAGUGGGGCAUGUUGUUUUAACAUGAAAUCUAUUGUGAGUGACUGAAGAUACCAUUUCCCCCACAUCUAAAGAACUCAUGUUUCAAGUCUCAAUGGAAUGCAAAUCAGUCCUGUUAUGCUCACUAUAAUAGCAAUCCAAGUUAAACAUCAAACAUGUGGAAGGAAUUUCAGGGAGGUGUUUUUAUAUUUCUACUCUGACUACUUGGUGUGACACAGCAGUUUCUCCUACACUAGCUACUUAUCCUUUCAGAUUUGUUUAGUUUGCAUAAAAACACUCUUUAAAUGCAGUAUUACACAAUGAAGUUUCAGGUAUUUGCAAAAUAAUGUGGCACAGCUGUGUUGUUAUUUAUUCUCUACCAUAAAUUCUACUGUCUGGAAAAUGAAGUUUGUUUAAAAAUAAACUCUUCGAGACUUCUUCUAAUGAACAACCCCCAUGCAAGUCUUUUAUUUUGUGGAUGGAAAAGUGCAUCUAAGAGGCUUUAUUUCACUCAAUAAUAAAUAUUAUUCUGAAAUCAGAAACCCAGAGAAAAUUGGCUAUUUUAAAAAUAGAGUUCAUUAAAACAGUUCAGAGAACCAGUUCUUCAGGAGAGCUUCCUUAAAAAGCAAACACUCUGGGGAUGGAUUGCC